GGUUGACCUCGGAUCAGGUAGGAAUACCCGCUGAACUUAAGCAUACGAAGGGGGGAAAGAGGGAA
rnacentral:rRNA from 1 species